GGGAGCGUUCUGUAAGCCUGUGAAGGUGGCCUGUGAGGGUUGCUGGAGGUAUCAGAAGUGCGAAUGCUGACAUAAGUAACGAUAAAGCGGGUGAAAAGCCCGCUCGCCGGAAGACCAAGGGUUCCUGUCCAACGUUAAUCGGGGCAGGGUGAGUCGACCCCUAAGGCGAGGCCGAAAGGCGUAGUCGAUGGGAAACGGGUUAAUAUUCCCGUACUUGGUGUUACUGCGAAGGGGGGACGGAGAAGGCUAUGUUGGCCGGGCGACGGUUGUCCCGGUUUAAGCGUGUAGGUGUGUGUUCCAGGUAAAUCCGGUUCACUUUAACACUGAGGCGUGACGACGAGGCACUACGGUGCUGAAGCAACAAAUGCCCUGCUUCCAGGAAAAGCCUCUAAGCAUCAGGUAACAUCAAAUCGUACCCCAAACCGACACAGGUGGUCAGGUAGAGAAUACCAAGGCGCUUGAGAGAACUCGGGUGAAGGAACUAGGCAAAAUGGUGCCGUAACUUCGGGAGAAGGCACGCUGACACGUAGGUGAAGUGAUUUACUCACGGAGCUGAAGUCAGUCGAAGAUACCAGCUGGCUGCAACUGUUUAUUAAAAACACAGCACUGUGCAAACACGAAAGUGGACGUAUACGGUGUGACGCCUGCCCGGUGCCGGAAGGUUAAUUGAUGGGGUCAGCGCAAGCGAAGCUCCUGAUCGAAGCCCCGGUAAACGGCGGCCGUAACUAUAACGGUCCUAAGGUAGCGAAAUUCCUUGUCGGGUAAGUUCCGACCUGCACGAAUGGCGUAAUGAUGGCCAGGCUGUCUCCACCCGAGACUCAGUGAAAUUGAACUCGCUGUGAAGAUGCAGUGUACCCGCGGCAAGACGGAAAGACCCCGUGAACCUUUACUAUAGCUUGACACUGAACAUUGAGCCUUGAUGUGUAGGAUAGGUGGGAGGCUUUGAAGCGUGGACGCCAGUCUGCGUGGAGCCGACCUUGAAAUACCACCCUUUAAUGUUUGAUGUUCUAACGUGGACCCGUGAUCCGGGUUGCGGACAGUGUCUGGUGGGUAGUUUGACUGGGGCGGUCUCCUCCUAAAGAGUAACGGAGGAGCACGAAGGUUGGCUAAUCCUGGUCGGACAUCAGGAGGUUAGUGCAAUGGCAUAAGCCAGCUUGACUGCGAGCGUGACGGCGCGAGCAGGUGCGAAAGCAGGUCAUAGUGAUCCGGUGGUUCUGAAUGGAAGGGCCAUCGCUCAACGGAUAAAAGGUACUCCGGGGAUAACAGGCUGAUACCGCCCAAGAGUUCAUAUCGACGGCGGUGUUUGGCACCUCGAUGUCGGCUCAUCACAUCCUGGGGCUGAAGUAGGUCCCAAGGGUAUGGCUGUUCGCCAUUUAAAGUGGUACGCGAGCUGGGUUUAGAACGUCGUGAGACAGUUCGGUCCCUAUCUGCCGUGGGCGCUGGAGAACUGAGGGGGGCUGCUCCUAGUACGAGAGGACCGGAGUGGACGCAUCACUGGUGUUCGGGUUGUCAUGCCAAUGGCACUGCCCGGUAGCUAAAUGCGGAAGAGAUAAGUGCUGAAAGCAUCUAAGCACGAAACUUGCCCCGAG
rnacentral:rRNA from 1 species